CUGAAACACUGAAAAUGAGUAGUACAAUGCACCAAACCUAUGAACCCCACUUCCACAUACCUAUGAACCAUGGUUACUUAUCCAACCAAAAUUUAUAAAACAAAAAACAUGAUUAUUACUUACACAUACCAGCACCCUACCAUGGUUACUUACUGCUAUAUUUUCCGUUCUAUCAUCAAUAGUUGGGUUAGUUUAUUUAUGGGGUAGUUAAAGUGCAACAACAAAAAGUUUUUGUAUGGGAAAUUCCAGGCACCUCAUGCUACAUCAAUACACAAAAACAAAUCAUAUCAAUUCUUUACUCUAUUCUAUGGUUAUAUAUAUUUUUAUCCAUUCUAUAGUUCAGAAAGGUGUUUACUUUUUCUUUGUUAUAGUUGAGAAAGUGUUUUGCAUCACAAAGAAGGAACUAUAUGUGUAAUUCUAUUAGUAAAGCUUUGAUUUUUUAUGCAUAUAGAAAUAAGACAUAGCAGGGUAGUAUUAUUAUUAGUGAUAGAUAGGGAAUAAGGUUUAUGCAUAUAGAUAUGGGGAAGAAGAGACAAAAAAUGAAGGAACUUUCAGUAGCAAUAGCAGAGGCUUCAUGCAUACAAGGUUCUGAGAAGGGUCAACAACAGAUUCAAUCUCAGGCUCCUAGAAAAAGAGGUAGGCCUCGUAAGAUUAUUGUGAUGGAAAGGAGCCAAGAGAAGAAAAUAGAAGCAAGAGAAGAAGAAGCUUCUACAGCAGAAAAGAGCAAAGAAAGUUGUUCAAUGAAUAAAGAAGAACAAAAGGAAUCAGCUACAGAAACAUGCAUAAGUAUUGAUACAAAGGAAGAAGAGAUUCAAGUUCCUAAAGGGGAACCUUCCAGAAACAGGGCUAGGAGGAAAAGCAAACCCAGAAAAAGUACUUGAACAAAAUGAAUACAACUUGGUAAGUUUAAUUUCUUCCUAGGUUUGUCAUCUUAUCCAAACAGCUUUUUCUUUUGGUUCUUAAGUUUAUAUAUCUGUGUGCAUAUAGUUUUGGUUAAAAUAACUUGUUGGUUGUUAUUGCUUAAACUAGAUGUGAAUUGUGAAUGAAUAUGAUAUAAGGAUGUUUCAUCUUAGCUUUUCAUUCUAAUAAUAAUGAUGGAGAGGAAAUGGAAUCGAUGUAUAUCUAUAAUUAUAUAUAACGAC
rnacentral:lncRNA from 1 species